GCUCUUCCACCCACCACUACUACCCUCAGCAUCUACUGCACCUCAGUGACAGUUUUCUUCAUUGUCAUUAAGAUGGUAAAUUAUCACCUCCAUCUGAUGUUUGAUCAGGGCGACAUUAUAGCCCAGAAUAGUGUGGCUGACAUUAGCAAAUGUGUAGACAAGAAAAGCAAUGCAUCUAAUUCCUGUCUUCCAUUGGAAGAGCAGCACAGUUCCUGACAGUGUUGCCAUAUCUGUAUUGACCCAAAACAGGCCAAGUUCAGUAAUAAAAGUGCUAAAAGUAAAAGUAAUAAAAGUAAUAAAACAGCCUGAAACAGACCCUGGACUGAUUGGAGGAGAGGAAAGAUAACUUUACCAGCUGUAACAGUGGCAUGAACAUGGAGGAUGUGGAUUGUGCUGGUUCCUCCUUAAGUCAGAAUCAUAACUCCGCCACAUCCCAGAGCCGAAGCCUUUUUCACGGCCGCCAAAGCAGCUCCCAGUCCAGACACCACGGACUCACCGGGAGUAUCGCAGUCGCCCAGUGCAACCUCAGGGCCAACGGCCCCCUGUCACCAGCUGAUCGAGUCCCAUCCUGGACAGCCAGCACGGCUCCAACAGCCAGCUGUCCUUCAACACCUCCUCCAUUGCCUCCGUCUUUUCCCAGGUGCCUCGUUUAUCCACAACAGGGCCUCUGGCUCUGGCUCCAGCCAGGCGUCUUCCUCCAGCUCCACACUGAGCCUGCUGUUGGCAAGCGGAGCUGCUCCAGCGGCUUGGUCAUCUCAGGCCUCUCUGCAGCUGAGAGGGGGAACACCAGAGAUACGCAGUCCUCAAGUUCUGACAACAUCGUCCUAGGCCCGUCCUGUCACUCGAGUCAUGCAAUGCAGCAGUGGACAUCAGAGGCGUAG
rnacentral:lncRNA from 1 species